UACGAAGGGGGCUAGCGUUGCUCGGAAUUACUGGGCGUAAAGGGCGCGUAGGCGGACAUUUAAGUCGGGGGUGAAAGCCCAGGGCUCAACCCUGGAAUUGCCUUCGAGACUGCGUAGCUAGGGUGCGGAAGAGGGAAGCGGAAUUUCCGGUGUAGCGGUGAAAUGCGUAGAUAUCGGAAGGAACACCAGUGGCGAAAGCGGCUUCCUGGUCCAGCACCGACGUUCAGGCACGAAAGCGUGGGGAGCAAACAGG
rnacentral:rRNA from 1 species